UACGGAGGGAGCUAGCGUUGUUCGGAAUUACUGGGCGUAAAGGGCGCGUAGGCGGCGUUGUAAGUGAGAUGUGAAAGACCUGGGCUUAACCUAGGAGGUGCAUUUCGGACUGCAAUGCUAGAGUGCGAGAGGGGAAAGUGGAAUGACGAGUGUAGAGGUGAAAUUCGUAGAUAUUCGUUGGAACACCAGUGGCGAAGGCGACUUUCUGGCUCGCAACUGACGCUAAGGCGCGAAAAGCGUGGGGAGCAAACAGG
rnacentral:rRNA from 1 species